rnacentral:rRNA from 1 species
UACGAAGGGGGCUAGCGUUGCUCGGAAUCACUGGGCUUAAAGCGUGUGUAGGCGGAUGUCUAAGUACCUUGUGAAAUCCCAUGGCUUAACCAUGGAACUGCUCGGUAUACUGGAUGUCUUGGGCCACUUAGGGGUCACUGGAACAAAUGGUGGAGCGGUGAAAUGCGUAGAUAUCAUUUGGAACGCCAAAGGUGAAAACAGGUGACUGGGAGUGUGCCGACGCUGAGACACGAAAGCCAGGGGAGCAAACGGG